AACGAACGCUGGCGGCAUGCCUAACACAUGCAAGUCGAACGAGACCUUCGGGUCUAGUGGCGCACGGGUGCGUAACGCGUGGGAACCUGCCCUUAGGUUCGGCAUAACUCCCCGAAAGGGGUGCUAAUACCGGAUAAUGUCUUCGGACCAAAGAUUUAUCGCCUUUGGAUGGGCCCGCGUUGGAUUAGCUAGUUGGUAGGGUAAAAGCCUACCAAGGCGACGAUCCAUAGCUGGUCUGAGAGGAUGAUCAGCCACACUGGGACUGAGACACGGCCCAGACUCCUACGGGAGGCAGCAGAGGGGAAUAUUGGACAAUGGGCGAAAGCCUGAUCCAGCAAUGCCGCGUGAGUGAUGAAGGCCUUAGGGUUGUAAAGCUCUUUUACCCGGGAUGAUAAUGACAGUACCGGGAGAAUAAGCUCCGGCUAACUCCGUG
rnacentral:rRNA from 1 species